GAUGAAGAACGUAGCGAAAUGCGAUAAGUAGUGUGAAUUGCAGAAUUCAGUGAAUCAUCGAAUCUUUGAACGCACAUUGCGCCCUAUGGUAUUCCGUAGGGCAUGUCUGUUCGAGCGUCAUUCAAGCCUUCAAGCUCUGCUUGGUGUUGGGCGUCUGUCCCGCCUCACGGCGCGGACUCGCCUCAAAUCUAUUGGCGGCCGGCACGUUGGCUUCGAGCGCAGCAGAAACGCGAACUCGAGACCGGCGGAUCGGCUCCCAGAAGCUAACCCCCAUGAAUUUGACCUCGGAUCAGGUAGGGAUACCCGCUGAACUUAAGCAUAUCAAUAAGCGGAGGA
rnacentral:misc_RNA from 1 species